AUACAGAGGGUGCAAGCGUUAAUCGGAUUUACUGGGCGUAAAGCGCGCGUAGGUGGCUAAUUAAGUCAAAUGUGAAAUCCCCGAGCUUAACUUGGGAAUUGCAUUCGAUACUGGUUAGCUAGAGUAUGGGAGAGGAUGGUAGAAUUCCAGGUGUAGAGGUGAAAUGCGUAGAGAUCUGGAGGAAUACCGAUGGCGAAGGCAGCCAUCUGGCCUAAUACUGACACUGAGGUGCGAAAGCAUGGGGAGCAAACAGGAUUAGAUACCCUGGUAGUCCAUGCCGUAAACGAUGUCUACUAGCCGUUGGGGCCCUUGAGGCUUUAGUGGCGCAGCUAACGCGAUAAGUAGACCGCCUGGGGAGUACGGUCGCAAGACUAAAACUCAAAUGAAUUGACGGGG
rnacentral:rRNA from 1 species